UUGUUCGGUCCUAUUUUCCUUUGUUUGGUGUUUCAUUUUCGCUAUGCCUGAGCCCGCGAAGUCCGCUCCCGCCCCGAAGAAGGGCUCCAAGAAGGCCGUGACCAAGGCGCAGAAGAAGGACGGCAAGAAGCGCAAGCGCAGCCGCAAGGAGAGCUACUCGGUGUACGUGUACAAGGUGCUGAAGCAAGUGCACCCGGACACGGGCAUCUCUUCUAAGGCCAUGGGCAUCAUGAACUCGUUCGUGAACGACAUCUUCGAGCGCAUCGCGGGCGAGGCGUCGCGUCUAGCGCAUUACAACAAGCGCUCGACCAUCACGUCCCGGGAGAUCCAGACGGCCGUGCGCCUGCUGCUGCCCGGGGAGCUGGCCAAGCACGCUGUGUCCGAGGGCACCAAGGCGGUCACCAAGUACACCAGCUCCAAGUGAGUUCAUCUUAACUCACUCCUAACCCAAAGGCUCUUUUCAGAGCCACUCACCUUACUGAAAGAAUGUUGCACUUCGAGUUUGCUUAGAAAGCUAAAGACUAAAGGAAGGUGACAAUUGAAGAGGUUCGGUGAAAUGCAUGCCUAAGGGCCGAGUACAGACAACACUGCUUUUGAGUACAGUGCUCCGUAAACUUUUUCCUUUGGAUUAAUUUACCAAAACUGAAAGUUAGACUCAUCUUUACAGUGUCCUGAUUUGUGGCUUCGCUAGCCAAUCGGCGUUUCGCGGGCAGUUUCAAAAUUAAACGCCAGAGAUAGUCGCGUUUGUUUCCCCAUCAUUCUUGGGGUUCUUCCUGCUCAGUGUUUCAACUGUUUCUGGUACUUAGGACAAAUUUUAAAAAGGAAAAAUCAGAAAGCCUUUCCCUGCUCAUUCCGUAGUCUCACCUUGGAUAAUAAAAACGGGCUUUUCAGUUUAAAAUAUGCAAUAGCUUAAUUGAAACAUUUUGAAUCUUUUCUGGAAUUUAUAUGAAAAUGCUUCAAGUUUAUUUUGCUCAAUUCUUUUAGUAGUACAUUUUUAUAUGGUUAAUGUAUUCUAGUGACUCCCAGAUGUUCUCAUUCUGAGCACAUAAGCAAUGGGAGAUAAUUUUGAAUUUUUGUGCUUUUUUUUUUUUUUUUUUUUCCGGGGCUGGGGAUUGAACCCAGGACCUUGCGCUUCCUAGGCAAGUGCUCUACCACUGAGCCAAAUCCCCAACCCCAUAAUUUUGAAUUUUUAAGGGAUAUGGCAUUCUUUCAGACAAACUAGUAGAAAUAGUUACAUGUUCCUUUAUUUUCUUUAAAUGAAUUAAUCGGGGUAAAUUAACAAUGCAUGUCAUAAACAGAAGAAAACAGCUGAAUAAAUUAUUUAAUUUCAGAGUCGUGUUUCAGGAGGUCCACAUAACAAUAAAUAGCAUUUAAUAAAAUCAAAACCAAGUUAGUUUUGAAGUUCACUUAGAUACGUCUGUGAUUGCAAACUUUAAUAAUAUUGAUAAAGGAAAAUGUAAAAAUAUUACGCGAAACUACUUUAACAAGUUCGGCUCAGAUGACUGGGAAGCACAGAGCCUUUGAAAUCUCUUUUUGGGAACAAAUUUGCUUGUGGGUGUCUGACUUAAUUUGUCAUCUUUUUUGUCAGAAACGAUAUAGUAUACAUACAAUAGAAAGGGAAAGAACCUGAGUAAAACUUCUAAGCUUCAUAUUUUUCAUAAAGAAAAAUUAAUGAGAACCUAGUUUCUCUAAGUAGUCUUGUUUUCUUUUAGUAGGAGGAGGAAGAGAAGGUACUGAUAGAGGCCAAUAACAUGGCUCAUGGGUUCAGGUUUGAGCUAAAAUUAUGUGUGAA
rnacentral:lncRNA from 1 species